GAACUCGAAGUCCAAUCUUAACCUGUACAGCAAUUUUAAGACCCAAUUUUUCAAAUGCUUGGAUUUUCAGGAUUUUAAAUAUGUAUAACUAAUGGAAAAUACAACCAUCAUACAGAAAUCAACAAGUGACUACCAUCCUAGCUUAAUCCUAAAAUUCAUGGAAAUACUAAAUUUGAAGAUUUAAAAAAAAAAUCUAACUAUGGUCAAGCAGACAACAUGAAUGAAGAGAGAAAGAGAGGGGACGGGAAUCACAUCCAAGGUAUGCAAUCAUGCACAAGCAAAAGGGGACUUGCAGGGUUUCCUGACUGUGGAAACAUGAAAGCAAGGUUCAAAACUAAUGAUGAUACAAGUUCAAGAAUAUUAUAGGAUUAGAAAGCCUGCAUGAAAAGAAAAUUAUCUGGACAAGGAACGAAAGGAGUGAAUAAUGGAACAAAUGGAGGUUGGAGAAUCUACGUCAUUAGUGGGAACAAAAAGGAAAAAAGAAAAGCAAUAGAACAAAAUAUGCCCUGCUAUAUAAUCUGGGAAGUGGGAACAAUUAAUUAUGACAAAAAUGGUCUAGCUGAGGUUACGAAAUUGAAAUACUCCAAUCAAGUUUUUAA
rnacentral:misc_RNA from 1 species